GACCUACUGGUGAAACAGGUCAUCCAUGAGCGUGUUUUUUGUGUCAAGUCUCCAGGGGCUUACCUGCUCGUUAUUAACUCAAUCCCCAUCUCUCUCUCUUUCUCUGUUUGUGUUGUAUGAGCACAAUUGUGAAGACUGCUUUUUGUAGAUGGUGAUUUGUGUGCAGUCAUAUGCUUCCAUUAUUGACGCUAUAUUUUAUUUGUUUAUAAUGCUUUGAGACUUAUCAUUCUUAUUAAAUAUGUUUCCCGUCUCUGUGUGUUCGUGAUGAAAGGUGUGCAUACGACCCAUCAGUACAUUUAAGAAGUUAAUUAAGCCGCAUCUUGCGGUGGGAAGAGAAAAAUCCAACCAUUUAUUUUAGUGGAAAAAUUUACUGUCAUACAAACAAAACAGGAAAUUAAAAAUAAAGUAUUUGGUGUGACUGCAAGAAUUAUAUCUAGCCCAGCAACAGGAAGAUGAAAAAUGUCUCUGGGAUGCUUUUUUACAUCGUAUUGAGAUGGCAAAAUAGUUGUAGGAUGAUUGAGAAAGGAGCAACUUAAGGCCAUCGGAUCUUAAUUUGGAUUGGAGUUCAGUGAAUAGAUUUAAGCUCAUUUGUCUUUUAUUUUAUUUUUCUUCUUUCAACAAGUUGAGC
rnacentral:lncRNA from 1 species